rnacentral:rRNA from 1 species
GAUGAACGCUGGCGGCGUGCCUAAUACAUGCAAGUCGAGCGAAUGGAUUGAGAGCUUGCUCUCAAGAAGUUAGCGGCGGACGGGUGAGUAACACGUGGGUAACCUGCCCAUAAGACUGGGAUAACUCCGGGAAACCGGGGCUAAUACCGGAUAACAUUUUGAACUGCAUGGUUCGAAAUUGAAAGGCGGCUUCGGCUGUCACUUAUGGAUGGACCCGCGUCGCAUUAGCUAGUUGGUGAGGUAACGGCUCACCAAGGCAACGAUGCGUAGCCGACCUGAGAGGGUGAUCGGCCACACUGGGACUGAGACACGGCCCAGACUCCUACGGGAGGCAGCAGUAGGGAAUCUUCCGCAAUGGACGAAAGUCUGACGGAGCAACGCCGCGUGAGUGAUGAAGGCUUUCGGUCGUAAACUCUGUUGUUAGGGAAGAACAAGUGCUAGUUGAAUAAGCUGGCACCUUGACGGUACCUAACCAGAAAGCCACGGCUAACUACGUGCC